rnacentral:rRNA from 1 species
GUGAAACGAGAAGACCACGAGUUAUGAUCCAGAGUACCACGAGACACGUGAAACCUUGUGGGAAGCAGGGAGGACCACCUCCCAAGGCUAAAUACUACCUGAUGACCGAUAGUGAAGCAGUACCGUGAGGGAAAGGUGAAAAGAACCCCGGGAGGGGAGUGAAAUAGAACCUGAAACCGUGUGCCUACAACCGCUCAGAGCCCCUUAUGAGGGUGAUGAGGUGCUUUUUGUAGAACGAGCCAACGAGUUACGGUAUGUAGCAAGGUUAAGUACUUAAGGUACGGAGCCGAAGGGAAACCGAGUCUGAAUAGGGCGACUAGUUGCAUGCCGUAGACCCGAAACCGGGUGACCUAUCCAUGGCCAGGUUGAAGCGAGGGUAAAACCUCGUGGAGGACCGAACCACGUUGCUGUUGAAAAAGCAUGGGAUGAGCUGUGGAUAGCGGAGAAAUUCCAAUCGAACCCGGAGAUAGCUGGUUCUCUCCGAAAUAGCUUUAGGGCUAGCGUCGAGUAUGAGUAGUGGAGGUAGAGCACUGAAUGGGCUAGGGGGCAUAGCGCUUACCGAACCUUAUCAAACUCCGAAUGCCACAUACUUUGAGCUCGGCAGUCAGACUACGAAUGAUAAGAUCCGUGGUCAAAAGGGAAACAGCCCAGAUCGUCAGCUAAGGUCCCAAAGUGUAAGUUAAGUGGGAAAGGAUGUGAGAUUUCUAAGACAACUAGGAUGUUGGCUUAGAAGCAGCCAUUCAUUAAAAGAGUGCGUAAUAGCUCACUAGUCGAGAGAUCUUGCGCCGAAAAUGUAACGGGGCUAAACUUACC